UGUUCAUGUGACUUUGGAUGCGUUCCUCAAUUUCUUUCAGACUCAUUUCAGAGUCCAUAAGACCAACGACGAUCAUGUUGACUUCCCCCUGUUGUAAAGAUGACAUGACAUGGAAGACGUAGGGUUUCAAGCCCAGCACCCAGAACAUGGGUGUCCCUCCCUUCCUCUCCGGCUCUUCCUCAGUUAUUGACUUUGACCAUAUUCUGCUAGAGUUCUCAUCUCUCCAGGCUGCUGGGGCUCAUCUUCCGGGGGCUGGUUCUCACCCACAUUGGCUCCACCUUUGAUUAUUUCCGGUUGGCCUUUUGGUCUCCAAUUAGCUCAGACACAUCUCUCUCCCUCUCUCUUUCAGUGGGUGACGGGGUGCCGCAUGAAACUACCCCCGCUGGAGCCAACCCCAAGGCAGAGCCACGCUCUUCCCUCGGCCAUCUCCUCUGGCUGCAGACUGUGUAAGGGAGGGCGGCCAGCCCAGGACUGGAUGAUCGAUGUGGUGAGAGCCGGCGGCUGACACCG
rnacentral:lncRNA from 12 species